UGUGUUUUGAGAUCAAGUCACUGAUUGGCCA
rnacentral:piRNA from 1 species